AAGAGCAUGGAGGUUGGGAGAUACUGUUGCAGCUUGUUUGGAAGAUAGACACUUGGGAAUCACACAGUGUUUUGGCCACUUUGCUGUAACUUUCACACUUUCAAAAAUUGGGAAGGACAAAGGGAAGAAGUAAAACUCUAAUAGCCAUUACAGUGCUUAAUUGCAUCAGAUACUGAAUUUAUUGACCGAAGUGAGUAUUUUGAAUUAUACACUGAUUUAUGCUAUCAAUGUAGUUUCACUAUUUUCCUAUUACAUGUGAAAGUGGGCUAUUAAAAUUUUUGUUCUGAUUAUCGCUUUUGAUAUAUUCUUAGGGCCGUUGAUACAGUUAAAAAGAAAAUAUGAAUAUAGCACAUGUAACUAGUUCAAGAUAAAUAUGAUUUAUACAGUUUGGUUUUCAUAGUAAUUUGCAGGUAUGAGGAUAAAUUGUCAUACAGAGAAUGAUAAAGUAUACAUUCAGAGUGUACAUUUAGCAAGCUAAAUAGAAUUUUAGUGGAUUGUAUUUCAUAUUGAUCAAAAUCUCUUUGCAUGAUAUUGCUGCAUAUUGAGUUCAGACCAGAUAUUUAAAUUUGUCCCUCAC
rnacentral:lncRNA from 12 species